AACGGCAGCGGGGAGGAGCUUGCUUCUCUGCCGGCGAGUGGCGAACGGGUGAGUAAUACAUCGGAACGUGUCGAGAAGAGGGGGAUAACCACCCGAAAGGGUGGCUAAUACCGCAUAAAUUCUGAGGAAGAAAGCUGGGGACCUAGGAAUAGGCCUAGCGCUUUUUGAGCGGCCGAUGUCGGAUUAGCUAGUUGGUGAGGUAAAGGCUCACCAAGGCGAAGAUCUGUAGCGGGUCUGAGAGGAUGAUCCGCCACACUGGGACUGAGACACGGCCCAGACUCCUACGGGAGGCAGCAGUGGGGAAUUUUGGACAAUGGGGGCAACCCUGAUCCAGCCAUGCCGCGUGUAUGAAGAAGGCCUUAGGGUUGUAAAGUACUUUUGUUAGGGAAGAAAAGUCAGCUGUGAAUAAUGGCUGAUACUGACGGUACCUAAAGAAUAAGCACCGGCUAACUACGUGCCAGCAGCCGCGGUAAUACGUAGGGUGCGAGCGUUAAUCGGAAUUAUUGGGCGUAAAGCGAGUGUAGACGGUUAUUUAAGCCAGAUGUGAAAUACCCGAGCCUAACUUGGGAGGUGCAUAUGGAACUGGGUAGCUAGAGUGUGUCAGAGGGAGGUAGAACUCCACGUGUAGCAGUGAAAUGCGUAGAGAUGUGGAAGAAUACCGAUG
rnacentral:rRNA from 1 species